GCAAAGGAGAAAAAUGCGAAAGAAUUUGCAGAAGGAUUGGAGAAGAUAGAAGGGGAAUUCAAGGGAAAGAGCGGCUUAUUGUUUGCUGAAGGAGAGAGCAAUAUUGGGUAUUUGGAACUUGCAUUUGGUUGGAUUCUUUACUGGCUGCCUGUUUGGGAAGAAGCUGGAUCCUUUCAAGUUCUUGACCCUCAGAAAUUUCCAGUCAUCACUGAAUGGAGCACCAAGUUUGUGAAUCACCCUCUCAUCAAAGAAAACUUGCCGGCCAGGGACCAGAUGCUCGUCUAUUUCCGCAAAGUCAGUGAAGAGUUCUUUACCUUAUUCCGAGCAUAGAGCAUCCAAGAAUUAUUGAUCAAAUAAUAUCUGUGCUAAUAAAGGUGGUGUUGUGG
rnacentral:lncRNA from 1 species